UACGUAGGGGGCAAGCGUUAUCCGGAUUUACUGGGUGUAAAGGGGGCGCAGACGGCGAUGCAAGCCAGGAGUGAAAGCCCGGGGCCCAACCCCGGGACUGCUCUUGGAACUGCGUGGCUGGAGUGCAGGAGGGGCAGGCGGAAUUCCUGGUGUAGCGGUGAAAUGCGUAGAUAUCAGGAGGAACACCGGUGGCGAAGGCGGCCUGCUGGACUGCACCUGACGUUGAGGCCCGAAAGCGUGGGGAGCAAACAGG
rnacentral:rRNA from 1 species